GCCUGGGUGGCACAGUGGUUGAGCGUCUGCCUUUGGCUCAGGGCGUGAUCUGGCGUUGUGGGAUCGAGCCCCACAUCAGGCU
rnacentral:tRNA from 1 species